GCCUGGGUGGCUCAGUCAGUUAAGUGUCUGACUUCAGCUCAGGUCAUGAUCUCGCGGUUUGUGGGUUCGAGCCCCGCAUCGGGCU
rnacentral:tRNA from 1 species